rnacentral:rRNA from 1 species
AGGGGAUCUGUUAGAGCAAUCGAAGCAGUGAACUUAAGCCCCAGUAAACGGCGGCCGUAACUAUAACGGUCCUAAGGUAGCGAAAUUCCUUGUCGGGGAAGUUCCGACCCGCACGAAAGGCGUAACGAUUUGGGCACUGUCUCAACAACAGACUCGGUGAAAUUGUAAUUCCGGUGAAGAUGCCGGAUACCUGCGACAGGA